GCCUGGCUGGCUUAUUAUUGAUAGCAGCUUGCUAAGGGGAGUGGGUGUAUGUGUCUUUGCUUUGUGUUCGUAGUUGGCUACCCAAAGCAGGAAAGGGGCAAACUGAGGAUUGUGCAAAUGCUAGUCUAGCGCGCUCCUGUCGUUUCUGAAUGAAGAGUUACCAAAGACUUGUUUUUCCUUCCCCGCCCCCCCCCCCUUAAAAUGCAUGAAAGCUGUGAGCCGCAAUGCACAAUUCUGGAAAUGCUGAUGAUGUGAUGUUGUCAUCUGUGUCUGAGAUGUCAACUUGCUAUUAAUAUUUAAGGGAGGAAAGACAAUGGAACAGGCAUCAGCCCCCCUUGUGACUCACUCCAUCAGCUAUGAGCCCAUAUUGUACAAUGGUAACUUAAUUUAACUAAUAUAGCAAAAACCCUGACAGACUAUUGAAGGCAAGAGUGGAACAGAGAAAUGCAAUGUUACUACACCAUUUUUAAUGCAGUCUACUAUUAGUCUACAUUUUAUCAACAGUAGGAUUAACAUCCAUUUUAAAAUAUAUUGGAGGUGUAUGUGUGUGUGUGUGUGUGUGUGUGUGUGUGUGUGUACACACACACACACACACACACACAUAUAUAGAUAUUCUCUUCCUUACAACACAAGUAUUAUUUCUAUCACAAGUAUUAUGUGAUGAAACACAGCAAGCCAAGCAAAUUACUGUUUCCUCCUCAUACUGUACCUUUUCAGCAGCUAUAUCUCAUUUGAGUUUUGAUAGUCUGCUAAAGUGCAUAUAUGAGGCUUAAAAAUUACAACUAACAAAAAACAUUUUCUGCAGCUUUGUGAACUUUUGAUGAAAAGGCACAAUGGAUCCUGCUUCACUGAUUAGCCAGACAUACAAUAUACAAUAAUCUGUAUAGAAUCUGCAAAUAAAAUAUUUCAACUGUGCCAGAAAGUGGUUUCACUUUAAAAAAUAAAUUUCACAAGCGAUAUUUUUGUUCUUCAGUACAUAACAUUGUAAAUGAGUAUUUCAGAGCACCAGUUCAACAAUCCACCAAGCUACUUCAAAUGCAACAAAUUUCUGCUGUAUUGUAUCACUCAUGGAAUUGCCACCUUUUUUCCUGCCAGGGCUACUGUGCAGAAACGAUGCAGGUUUCCCCCUGCUUGCAUAUGCUGUGGUGGGGGAAGUUUCAGCUGCUGAAUCUGUUCCUGUCAUGGGCGUUUUCCAGAUUACUCCUUGCAACAGGUUCACAACGUGUCCGCUAAGUGCCCUUCCAAAUUGCCUGUGUUGCGACAUCAUGUUCACUGCACUGUCAGCAGGGUGCUGUCCAUAUUUCCAAUGCAAUGUUUCAAAUUUUGUUGAUGCAUUCCAGCCCUAUAACAUGGUAAAUGUGUUGCAGGAAAGUAGCUGUAUUUCCCCGUUUUUAGGAGGCUUGUUCUGCAGUUCAUGCACUGCAGUGUAGUGUAGUGUGGACUGUAGCGUGAGCAGGCAGGGACGGAAGGAAGGAGGCAGAUCUUGGGGCAGAACGGAGCCACAGAAUGGGUGUGUGUGUUCAGCCUCUGGAAAGAGCCCAGCCUCCUGCCUGCCUCCCUCUUCCCAAAUCCACACAUUCAGAGAGGAGGCCAGAAAAGCAGCCUCUCUUCUUAGAGGUCUCGUAAAUGGGUUUGGCUGUGGAGGUGUGUGUGUGCGCACUGGGGCUUGUGGCAAAGAAGAACAAGACAGGGGGCCCGUUCGCACUCUUCAAAGGGAGGGCAAGCUCCCGGUGGGCUGCUUCCCACUCUCUCUCUCUCCCUCGCUGUCCAAGCCCAGCUUUUGCACAGCAUGACUGUGCCUCUUCUUCCACUGUUGCUUCCUUUUGCGUUCUGCUUUUGGGGCAAGCACAGAUCUGGCCACUUACUUAAGAGGAAGCCCAUUGAACUGAAUCAUUUACUUCUGUGCAAUUCCAUUUGUUUACUGCAAGGCAAUGGACUCCCCCCCCCCCUUGUUUACUGCAAGGAAGCCCAGUGUGAAUCAUUCACCAGCAAGCCUGCAAACUGUUCUCAAUGCCAUGUGGUGUGGAGAUCUCAUUCUGCAGUUCAAGGAUUUGUUAAUAUCUAAAGCCCCUCUGCAUAUAUGGUUUUUGUUUGUUUGUUUGUUUUUUGCUUGGGUUCUUGCACAAAUGCACAAUUCCUUUAUGUUUCCUUAAUAUAGAGGCAAUCAAAGGAUUGCAGUUUGUGCCAUGCUGCUCCCUCUAGUGGCGGUUUUGCACAAAAGCGCCCAGAGGAAAUAUAUUUUUUAAAAACUUCCUCAUGUCAUUCCCUCGCUGCGAUCCCAUUGGCCCGAAAUGGAAUGGGGGCAGUGAAUUGGAUUCCGGUAGAAUAUGGACAGCCCCUGCCCAGAAAACCCACUGCAGUGGUGGGCAAUUUGAACAGCCACAAUCUUGUCACAAUGCAUUGAGAAACACAUUGAAAAACGCUGUGCUUGCGGUUUCCAGCCGCUGCCUAAUACUGUUGCACUUUGCAACACUUUAAGCAGUGCAGAUCUUGCAGUCUGGAAAACGCCCUGCAGCUGUAAAGGCACUGGAGUCCUGCCAUGAAAAAAAAAUAGACUUAUUUUUAAUGGUGGGUAUCAGGAGUGAUACAUUACAAUAUUCACUACACUAUCAUUACCAGCGAGGUUCAAGAAUCAAGAGCAGACUGACCAGUUUAAAAGCUUCACAUGACGUUGUCAAAGAACACGAUUCACAGCAGAAUUUGUAAAUUAAUUAUUUCCCUAAUUUAGAAAUAGGGAAUGUGGUGAAUGUCUUCAUGUUUUCAAAUAGUGCCUACAUUAUGCUGUUUUUAUAAUAUUUUAUUUAUUUAUUUAACAUAUUUUUAUACCACCCAAAAGUUACAUCUCUGGGUGGUUUACAACAAUAGUUAUAAUAGUUUAAACCCUACUGGUGUAUUAAUGGGACAAGAGAGGUUGGAAGGGAUUUUAAGAAUUCUCUCAUAUUGCUGUCUUGAAUUUGUUGGACUUGGGCACAACUAUAAUUAGGCAGACAUGUUCAAAGAACACAAUCUGCCCCCCUUCACCUGUCACCCACCCUCCACCUCUCAACCACUAUAAAGUUACCCAGCACCCACCAACCACCCAACCGCCACCAUUCUCAUGUGGGGACUGAUGCUAGCCCCUCGGUACUACCCACUGCCUUGCCACCACCGCUCACCUCCUCCUCUUCCCACCAUUCCUUGUGCAGCUGAGAGGGCGUGAUGGGCUGUUUCCUCUCUCAAGCAAAAGAAGGAACAGACCACACACACUGCACAAACCAACCCAGGAAUAGAGGCAGCUAGAGGAAGAGUUGGUGGGAAGAGAUGGUGGCAGGAAGGGGAGGGCAGUAGUGACAAGGCACCAAGGGGAAUCGAGCUGUCCCCCAAAGGAGAAUGGUGGGGAUUACGGGGCUUGGUGUGGUGGUGGAGGGUUUUGCAGAGUGGGUGAGCAGCAGCGGGAUUGCACACACCCCCAAUUCCCUGUUAAAAAUUUGGUGACAUGUUUGGUACCACAAUAAAGGGGGAGGCCUUCUGAUAUUUUGAACACAGGUCUUCUUAUGCCAGUGCCUUGCGUCCAGACCAAAGACGCAUGUGAAAAUUGCUUUUUUGUCCUACAAACAUUCGCAGGGUACUACUGUUUCAUAGAUGGCUGAUCUGGAAUACUGUUAGUGGAAUAACCACUAAAAGUGAAUAGGAUUAGUGAGCAUUUUACAGGAACAAAAGUCUGCCAGCUUUUUUGAAGCUUUAAGGGGGUAUAGAAUUGGGCUAAGGUGACCUCCCACAAAUUUGAGAACAAUUUUUACUAGGCAAAAAAUGCAUGAUCACCACCACAUUUGAUUUUAAGAUAAUAUUCCUAGCCUGAGAAGGUGUGUUUGGUCCCUAAAUAGGGGCAUUUGAGGAUCAAUGCAUGUAAACUGUUUUGUUAAAAAUAAAAAAUAAAAAAAAUUGAACUGCCAUAGGUUAUUGUGCAUAUCUUUUAAUUAGUAUAGUCAAUAAGCAGAGUAUCCUGAAUAACUUGCAAAAAAUU